rnacentral:rRNA from 1 species
UACGUAGGGGGCAAGCGUUGUCCGGAAUUAUUGGGCGUAAAGAGCGCGUAGGCGGUCCGAUAAGUCGGCUGUGAAAGUCAGGGGCUCAACCCUUGGAAGCCGGCCGAUACUGUCGGACUAGAGUCCGGAAGAGGCAAGUGGAAUUCCCGGUGUAGCGGUGAAAUGCGCAGAUAUCGGGAGGAACACCAAUGGCGAAGGCAGCUUGCUGGGACGGUACUGACGCUGAGGCGCGAAAGCGUGGGGAGCAAACAGGG